GAUGAACGCUGGCGGCGUGCCUAAUACAUGCAAGUCGAGCGCGACUGAUUACACCGUUCUUCGGAACACCGUAAUCAUCGAGCGGCGGACGGGUGAGUAACACGUGGGCAACCUACCCUUAAGACUGGGAUAACCGCGGGAAACCGUGGCUAAUACCGGAUAAUACUUUUAUACAACGGUAUAGAAGUUGAAAGGUGGAUUUCUAUCACUUAAGGAUGGGCCUGCGGCGCAUUAGCUGGUUGGUAAGGUAACGGCUUACCAAGGCGACGAUGCGUAGCCGACCUGAGAGGGUGAUCGGCCACACUGGAACUGAGACACGGUCCAGACUCCUACGGGAGGCAGCAGUGAGGAAUAUUGGACAAUAGGCGAAAGCCUGAUCCAGCGACGUCACGUGAAUGAUGAAGGCCUUAGGGUUGUAAAAUUCUUUUAGUGGAGAAGAUAAUGACGGUAUCCACAGAAAAAGUCCCGGCUAACUUCGUGCCAGCCGCCGCCGUAAAAC
rnacentral:rRNA from 1 species